rnacentral:misc_RNA from 1 species
CCAUCCCCUCAAGCUCUGCUUGGCUUGUUGGGCCGGCGUCCGCCCGGGGCUUCGCCUCGGGGGGAUGGGCCCGAAAGGCAGUGGCGGCUCCCGGAGGGUGGUCCUUUGGGUGGUGAUACAUGGGUGUCUUCUUCCACCGCUCUGCUGGCCACGCUCCGGGGGCCUGUCGAACGAACGGUCUUCCCCUUUA